GUCUAUGACCAUGCCACCCUGAACAAGCCCGAUCCUGUCUGACCCCGGAAACUAAGCAGAGUAGGGCCCGGUUAGUACUUGAUUGGGAGACCACCUAGGAAGACCAGGUGCUUUAGGUG
rnacentral:rRNA from 1 species